CUGGAGGAGGACGAGCAGCCGCUGGAUAAGAAGAGCCUGGUGCCGGCCGUGUAGGCGGCCCCGGUGGAGGGGGCGGCGCCGGCCGGCGCUGCGGGCCCACCCCGCCGCCACGGGACGUAUACCCGGGAGGCACUGACCGUGAUCGAGGGGAACCACGCUCAUGUGGGAAGCUGAGGCUUAGAACACGAGUGGAAUUUCUCACAGCGGCUGUUGUGGAGAAGAGAACCGGGGUGAAAAGAACACUUUAUCUCGUGUUAUCCCACAGCAUUGAACUCUGCUUCCUCUGGAGCUGUGUAUCACCUUUUUUCUCUUUUCAGCUUUCACCUUUCUCAACUGUCAUGUAGGCUUCAGGAGCCAUGGAGACUGACUAGUUCUUAGUAGUUGGUGUAUGUUAGGAAGAAGAGUGGAGGAAGCUUGAAAGUUUUUGUCAGUGCUCCAAUAAAAGUUGGUGAUCUUUGAACAAUGAAUUGCCUUCGACACUUACUGCAGAACACUAUUUGUAUUUUUAAUGAUGGCCUUCGUUCACUCACAUGGAUGCUGAUUUGAAUUUCACAUUUCCACACGAAAUUGCAGCUAUCAAAUAAACUUAUGAUACACCAAA